rnacentral:rRNA from 1 species
CAUGCAUGUCUCAGUACAAGCCAAAUUAAGGUGAAACCGCGAAAGGCUCAUUAAAUCAGUUAUGGUUCCUUAGAUCGUACUCACAAUUACUUGGAUAACUGUGGUAAUUCUAGAGCUAAUACAUGCAAACAGAGCUCCGACCGGAGACGGAAGGAGUGCUUUUAUUAGAUCAAAACCGAUCGGUGGCGGGUUCGCUCGUCAUCGUACAACUUGGUGACUCUGAAUAACUUUACGCUGAUCGCACGGUCAUCGCACCGGCGACGCAUCUUUCAAAUGUCUGCCUUAUCAACUGUCGAUGGUAGGUUCUGCGCCUACCAUGGUUGUAACGGGUAACGGGGAAUCAGGGUUCGAUUCCGGAGAGGGAGCCUGAGAAACGGCUACCACAUCCAAGGAAGGCAGCAGGCGCGCAAAUUACCCACUCCCGGCACGGGGAGGUAGUGACGAAAAAUAACGAUACGGGACUCAUCCGAGGCCCCGUAAUCGGAAUGAGUACACUCUAAACCCUUUAACGAGGAUCAAUUGGAGGGCAAGUCUGGUGCCAGCAGCCGCGG